AGGGUGUAAAUUCUUAUUUAGUUAUUUGUUAUUAGUGUCGAGUAGUUUUAGGUAGCUCUGAUAUAAAACCUAGACUGUAGUCUUAGUUGUUUUAUAGCUAACAUAUAGUUGAAUCUAACCUAUUCUGAACACGUGCAUGUAACAACCAAUCAUUCACUUUCCCUCCGAUAUCCAGUUGCCUGUUGAAAGUUGUUUGAGACAGCCAUUGCAUUUAUUGAAUUGCAAUAUUAUAUUAUUUGUGUGGGAUAUUUUGGAUUCCUGCAGAUACCUUUAUCGAUCUAUUAAAACUUUGAAAACAU